UACGUAGGGUGCAAGCGUUGUCCGGAAUUAUUGGGCGUAAAGAGCUCGUAGGCGGUCUGUCGCGUCUGCUGUGAAAACUCACAGCUUAACUCUGGGCGUGCGGUCGAUACGGGCAUCACUGGAGUUCGGCAGGGGGAGACUGGAAUUCCUGGUGUAGCGGUGAAAUGCGCAGAUAUCAGGAGGAACACCGGUGGCGAAGGCGGGUCUCUGGGCCGAUACUGACGCUGAGGAGCGAAAGCAUGGGUAGCGAACAGG
rnacentral:rRNA from 1 species